GCCAAACAAAAGUUUGGACUCCUUAAUUUUUGAUGAAGCAACACGUCCUCUGCUCAACUGGCAAAAGAGAUCAGACAUCAUCAUAGGGAUAGCUCGGGGCCUCCUUUAUCUACAUAGAGAUUCAAGAUUGAGAAUAAUCCAUAGGGAUCUCAAAGCUAGUAAUGUUCUAUUAGAUAGUGAGUUGAAUCCCAAAAUUUCAGAUUUUG
rnacentral:misc_RNA from 1 species